UUUGGGAUAGCUCACUCAGAGCAGAGCAUGAGACUCUAAAUCUCAGGGUCAUGGUUUUGAGCCCCACAUUGGGAAAA